rnacentral:rRNA from 1 species
GACGAACGCUGGCGGCAUGCCUAACACAUGCAAGUCUAGGGGUAGCAAUACCACUGGCGCACGGGUGAGUAACACGUAGGUUAUCUGCCCCCAUCACAGACACAACCCCGGGAAACCGGGGCUAAUAUCUGAUGAGGUCGCGAGAUCAAAGCUUCGGCGGAUGGGGAUGAGCCUGCGGCUGAUUAGCUAGUUGGUGAGGUAAUGGCUCACCAAGGCGACGAUCAGUAGCUGGUCUGAGAGGACGAACAGCCACACUGGAACUGAGACACGGUCCAGACUCCUACGGGAGGCAGCAGUGAGGAAUAUUGGUCAAUGGGAGCAAUCCUGAACCAGCAAUGCCGCGUGUGGGAUGACAGGGCUUCGCCUUGUAAACCACUGUCGGACGGGACGAAAGGAGGCCUCGGGGCCUCUGGGACGGUACCGUCAAAGGAAGGGUCGGCUAACUACGUGCCAGCAGCCGCGGUAAU